rfam:Streptococcus dysgalactiae subsp. dysgalactiae ATCC 27957 chromosome, whole genome shotgun sequence.
UUAAGUGACGAUAGCCUAGGAGAUACACCUGUACCCAUGCCGAACACAGUAGUUAAGCCCUAGAACGCCUGAAGUAGUUGGGGGUUGCCCCCUGUUAGAUACGGUAGUCGCUUAGC